CGUUCCCAAUAGUUAACCA
rnacentral:siRNA from 1 species